AGCAGCCGCGGUAAUUCCAGCUCCAAUAGCGUAUAUUAAAGUUGUUGCAGUUAAAAAGCUCGUAGUUGAAUUUCGGGAUCAGCAGGUCGGUCGUGCCAAUGGUAUGCACUGGCCUUGCUGAUUCCUCCCUCUUGAUGAGCCGUAAUGCCAUUAAUUUGGUGUUGCGGGGAAUCAGGACUGUUACUUUGAAAAAUUAGAGUGUUUAAAGCAGGCAAGCGCUUGAAUACAUUAGCAUGGAAUAAUGAAAUAGGACGUUCGAUCCUAUUUUGUUGGUUUCUAGGAUUGACGUAAUGAUUAAUAGGGAUAGUUGGGGGCAUUAGUAUUCAAUUGUCAGAGGUGAAAUUCUUGGAUUUAUUGAAGACUAACUACUGCGAAAGCAUUUGCCAAGGAUGUUUUCAUUAAUCAAGAACGAAAGUUAGGGGAUCGAAGACGAUCAGAUACCGUCGUAGUCUUA
rnacentral:sRNA from 1 species